rnacentral:lncRNA from 1 species
UUUUCACAAAAUGAGUGAAUAAGAGAUAGAACAUAUUAAUUUAGGCGUAAGUUUUAAAUUUUUUAAAAAAUAUUAACACUAUAGUUUCGUAUUUUCUCACUUUAGUAUUCUAUAGUUAAAAGUGUAUCAAUUUAGUACUCUGUGAUUUUAUAUUUUUUCAAAAAAAUUAGUGAACAGGAUGAAAGUGAUAUAUUUUAAAAUAUAUGGUACGAAAGUAAGAGAGUGUGAAACUAUGUGUAUGGUAUUUGAAGUUUUUUUAAUUUUAAAUUUGUAUCGGUUGAAUACGGAAUUUUUUUUUUCUGAUUAUAAUAAUUUUAUUUAAUAAAGAAAUUAGGUAAUUUUUGAUGAAGAAGGGCAUAUAUGUAAUUAUAAGG